UGGGGAAUUUUGCACAAUGGGGGAAACCCUGAUGCAGCGACGCCGCGUGAUUUAGAAGGCCUUCGGGUUGUAAAAAUCUUUUGUAUGGGAAGAAAAUGACAGUACCAUACGAAUAAGGACCGGCUAAUUACGUGCCAGCAGCCGCGGUAAUACGUAAGGUCCGAGCGUUGUCCGGAAUCAUUGGGCGUAAAGGGUACGUAGGCGGAUAAGCAAGUUAGAAGUGAAAUCCUAUAGCUCAACUAUAGUAAGCUUUUAAAACUGCUCAUCUUGAGGUAUGGAAGGGAAAGUGGAAUUCCUAGGGUAGCGGUGAAAUGCGCAGAUAUUAGGAGGAAUACCGGUGGCGAAGUCGACUUUCUGGCCAUAUACUGACGCUGAGGUACGAAAGCGUGGGUAGCAAACAGG
rnacentral:rRNA from 1 species